rnacentral:misc_RNA from 1 species
GGACUGGUACUACGAUCGUCACAUAUUUCAGCUAAAUGAUUGCCCUUACCCUUGUGAUAAAACUUGUCAUAAUCGUGUGUUUGAAGAUAAUUGAGGACUGUGGCAAUUAAGUUCGUCGAUAUCAGUUGAAGAAAUAUAUAUGAGGAAAAGAGUGAAAGAAAUUAAGAUCUCACGAAAUAAAGCAUACCAUUAUGGCAAAUUAAUUUGAAAGUAAUUCAAAAAACAUUAUAUUGGUGUUAUGCUUUUG